CUGUUUAUUUUUGUUCCAGAUGGGCAGGGCCCUCUUGCCUGUUCUGACUAAUCCACUCGUCAGGGCUGGAAUCUCCUAACAGUUCCUUCCUCCAGUGCCAGGAAUCAAACCUAGGACCUCAACGCCACUUAACAUGCCAUACUCUCCCACCAUUGAACAAUAUCCAGAGACUGCUGACACAUCUUUCUUUGUGCUCACACAAGUUCAUAUGCAGAUGCUGGGACCAGAGAAGUGGCUCGGCAGUUAAGAGGACCUGGCAGCUCUUCCAGAGGACCUGUGUUUGAUUCCCAGAACUCCUAUGGUAGCUCAAAACCGUGUGUCUCCAAUCAUAGGGAGUCCAGCGUCCUCGUCUGGCCUCCAUGAGCACUGCAUGCAUAAGGUGCACAGACAUAAAUGCCAGCAAAAAUAAAAAAUCCGUACACAGA
ensembl:antisense Gm4876 predicted gene 4876